UGGGGAAUUUUGGACAAUGGGCGAAAGCCUGAUCCAGCAAUGCCGCGUGAGUGAAGAAGGCCUUCGGGUUGUAAAGCUCUUUUGUCAGGGAAGAAACGGUGAGAGCUAAUAUCUUUUGCUAAUGACGGUACCUGAAGAAUAAGCACCGGCUAACUACGUGCCAGCAGCCGCGGUAAUACGUAGGGUGCAAGCGUUAAUCGGAAUUACUGGGCGUAAAGCGUGCGCAGGCGGUUUUGUAAGUCUGAUGUGAAAUCCCCGGGCUCAACCUGGGAAUUGCAUUGGAGACUGCAAGGCUAGAAUCUGGCAGAGGGGGGUAGAAUUCCACGUGUAGCAGUGAAAUGCGUAGAUAUGUGGAGGAACACCGAUGGCGAAGGCAGCCCCCUGGGUCAAGAUUGACGCUCAUGCACGAAAAGCGUGGGGAGCAAACAGGAUUAGAUACCCUGGUAGUCCACGCCCUAAAACGAUGUCUACUAGUUGUCGGGUCUUAAUUGACUUGGUAACGCAGCUAACGCGUGAAGUAGACCGCCUGGGGAGUACGGUCGCAAGAUUAAAACUCAAAGGGAAUUGACGGGGGUCAUAGCUGUUUCCU
rnacentral:rRNA from 1 species